rnacentral:rRNA from 1 species
GAUGAACGCUGGCGGCGUGCCUAAUACAUGCAAGUCGAGCGAACAGACGAGGAGCUUGCUCCUCUGACGUUAGCGGCGGACGGGUGAGUAACACGUGGAUAACCUACCUAUAAGACUGGGAUAACUUCGGGAAACCGGAGCUAAUACCGGAUAAUAUAUUGAACCGCAUGGUUCAAUAGUGAAAGACGGUUUUGCUGUCACUUAUAGAUGGAUCCGCGCCGCAUUAGCUAGUUGGUAAGGUAACGGCUUACCAAGGCAACGAUGCGUAGCAGACCUGAGAGGGUAAUCAGCCACACUGGAACGGGGACACGGGCCAGACCCGUACGGGAGGCAGCAGUAGGGAAUCUUCCGCAAGGGGCGAAAGCUUGACGGAGCAACGCCGGGUGAGGGAUGAGUGUCUUCGGAUCGUAAAACUCUGUUAUUAGGGAAGAACAAAUGUGUAAGUAACUAUGCACGUCUUGACGGUACCUAAUCAGAAAGCCACGGCUAACUACGUG